CGUCUACAGUUCGUUUACUCGUGUCUUUGAGAGCAUAAUAUCAAAAACCAAAUGACACAAACGCUGUAGUGAAGUAGAUACCUACGCCGAUACGCUUGAUAAAAUUAAUCAAUAAUAUUGUUGUAUCUAACCCGACCUGGCUACUAUUGUUUUUACAUAAUAAAUAGGUUCGACAAAAGGGGAUGCUAAAAUGGUGAUAUUCAACGCAGAAUACAUUCCAGAAUACAAAUGGAUAAUGCUCGAGUCAAAUUCCAAUAGUAACGGCACUACCAAUAAAGAAAUAAGAGCUUUGAAAUAGUAAAACCCAAAAUAACAUUCUAAAACAGUAUCAUCAUAAUAUUGAAACCGAUUUUCAAUCAAUAUUUUAU